rnacentral:rRNA from 1 species
CACGUAGGGGGCAAGCGUUGUCCGGAUUUAUUGGGCGUAAAGAGCUCGUAGGUGGUUCAGUAAGUCGGGUGUGAAACCUCCAGGCUCAACCCAGGAAGUGCAUUCGAUACUGCCAAGCUAGAGUCCCGGAGAGGAUGGUGGAACUCUCGGUGUAGAGGUGAAAUUCGUAGAUAUCGAGAAGAACACCGGUGGCGAAGGCGGCCAUCUGGACGGUGACUGACGCUGAGACGCGAAAGCGUGGGGAGCAAACAGG